rnacentral:lncRNA from 13 species
UGGAAAGCAGCAUGGACAUGGGACUCCUACUAAAGACUUGUGAACAUUUCAUCACGAAUGAGUCACUACUCCCGCCUUCCUUCCCUGCUGGGUGCAUAUCCCUGCAGCACUAGUGUUGAAAGGACGUGAUGGAAGGAAGACAAUCACAAGUCUAGGCUCAGGCUGGGCUGGAAGUAGGGGCGACGGAGAGGCCUUAGCUCUGGCUGGCGCUGGUGGGGCAAUGCUGUGCAGCCAGGCCGAGGGAGCAGCAGCGGAGCUAAGCUGUCUGAGGUGAGAUCUGGGUUAGGGGCAUGGCAGCAAUCUAUAAAAUAUGCUAAAAGAUUCCUGGAAAUGGAAUGGGAUGGAGAAAAUAGUACUCAUCAGAACGCCUUUCAGGAAGGGAAAUAGAACAAUAACUUAAUCAGCUGCUGGCGGGUAAAUAAAGGGGAGAUGUUGAGACA